rnacentral:tRNA from 1 species
GCGGGCGUUGUAUAGUGGUAAUACGCGACCUUGCCAAGGUCGAGCCGGGAGUUCGAUUCUCCUCGCCCGCUCCA